rnacentral:tRNA from 1 species
GCCCUUAUAGCUCAAUGGAUAGAGCUACUCCGUCCUAAGGAGAGGAUCCUGGUUCGAUUCCGGGUAAGGGCA